rnacentral:lncRNA from 1 species
CAGUGUGUGGCUGGUCUUGGCCUCCUGUUCUGCUUCCCUGUCACAGGGGUCCAGGGUGUGUGUGUGUGUGUGUCCCCCAUACAGCCAAUCCUACACCUGCAUCUCCUUCUCCUGCAUGGGCCCUCCUUGGUCAGGAAGGGGAGGCAGGAGGAUCUCAGCCCCCACCUCAUUCUACCCCAGUUGGAGUAGCCUCUUCAUGUCCAGUUGGUCCCAGGAUCCCCUAACCCAUCAUCAUCCUGGGAGGAGGGCAGUGGCUCCUCCCAGCGGAGAGCUCCAGGACCCGCCCUGCCCUGUGGGCAGCAGGGCCCUCCUCCUAAGCCCCUCUUCCUGCCCAUAAAUGUAUUUACACUUGUAUUACCCCAGGUAUGUGGCUGUGACAAUGGCAUCCCCAGCCCGGUGUGGAGGACAGGAAUUGAACUUUAGUCUCCAGGCAAUUAAGGUGCAAGGACUGCACUUCAUUAAUGGUUGUUAUGCAAUAAAAAACGAUAAAAUGGC